rnacentral:rRNA from 1 species
UCGUAGGUGACCUGCGGAGGAUCAUUACAAGUGAGGCUACCGAACGUUGGAAACAGCGGUUAGGAGCUUACACCCACCCGUGUUUACAUACUAUUGUUGCUUUGGCGGGCCGUGGCCUCCACUGCGGGCUCUGCUCGUGUGUGCCCGCCAGAGAACCAAACUCUGAAUGUUAGUGAUGUCUGAGAACUAUCUAAUAGUUAAAACUUUCAACAACGGAUCUCUUGGUUCUGGCAUCGAUGAAGAACGCAGCGAAAUGCGAUAAGUAAUGUGAAUUGCAGAAUUCAGUGAAUCAUCGAAUCUUUGAACGCACAUUGCGCCCUGUGGUAUUCCGCAGGGCAUGCCUGUUCGAGCGUCAUUUAACCACUCACGCCUAGCGUGGUAUUGGGGCACGCGGUCUCCGCGGCCCUCAAAAUGAGUGGCGGCGCCGGUGGGCUCUAAGCGUAGUACAUACUCCCGCUAUAGAGUUCCCCCGGUGGCUCGCCAGAACCCCCAAUUUUUACAGGUUGACCUCGGAUCAGGUAGGGAUACCCGCUGAACUUAAGCAUAUCAAUAAGCGGAGGA